rnacentral:rRNA from 1 species
CCUACGGGAGGCAGCAGUGGGGAAUAUUGCACAAUGGGGGAAACCCUGAUGCAGCGACGCCGCGUGAGCGAGGAAGGAUUUCGGUAUGGAAAGCUCUAUCAGCAGGGACGAAAAAAGAAGGUACCUGACUAAGAAGCCCCGGCUAAAUACGUGCCAGCAGCCGCGGUAAUACGUAGGGGGCAAGCGUUAGCCGGAGUUACUGGGUGUAAAGGGAGCGUAGAGGGCAAGGGAAGCCAGAAGUGAAAGGGUAGGGCUCAACCCGGUACAUGCUUUUGGAAAUGUGGUGCUAGAGUGCAGGAGAGGUAAGUGGAAUUCCUAGUGUAGCGGUGAAAUGCGUAGAUAUUAGGAGGAACACCAGUGGCGAAGGCGGCUUACUGGACUGUAACUGACGUUGAGGCUCGAAAGCGUGGUGAGCAAACAGGAUUAGAUACCCUUGUAGUC